CUCAAAUGCCACUCAGAGGCAAGCACUUAGGAAGCACCCUCCUUUUGGAAAUAUCCAUGACGUCCUGUGGGGCAAAAUUUCAAGGGAGUAUGGAAGAAAGAAGGAAGGAAGGAGCAGGCCAAAUGGAGACACAGAGUAUUGGUCUGUCGCCCAGGCUGGAGUGCUGGCAUCAUCAUAGCUCACUGCAGCCUGGAACUCCUGGCCUCAAGACAUCCUCCCACCUCAGCCUCCCAAAUAGUUAGACUACAGGACACUGGACAACGUGGAUAGGACUUUGCAAGAACUAAGGCAGCUCCAAAAGGAUAAAAAGGAGGACUUCCUGGAUAAUCCUGUAGAAGAUGGUGUUUGUUCAGGGAGCAGCUGCUGAAAUGAAUGAACUCUAACUCUACACUCUCUAAGACAGUAACCACCAGCCACAUGCAGUAAUUGGGCAUUGAAAUAUGGCUAGUCUGAAAAAUAUUAAUACAAGUAUGUAUGCAUGUGUGUAUGUAUGCUAUUAUGUUAUACAUAUACUAUCUCGUAAAUCGUUUUUAUAAUGAUUACAUGUUGAAAUGAUAUUUUGGAUACAUUGGGUUAAGUAAAGUAUAUAAUUUAAAUUAGUUAAAUGUAUUUCUUUUAUCUUAUAGUAGUUAUUAGAAAUUUAAAAUUAUAUUUGUGGCUCACAUUUGUGACACAAAUUAUAUGUCUUUUGACCCAUUCACUAGUCACG
rnacentral:lncRNA from 1 species